AAAGUCGUAACAAGGUUUCCGUAGGUGAACCUGCGGAAGGAUCAUUGCGAGUACAUGAUUUGUGCAGUGCUGCAUUUAUGCAGCGCUGUGCGAAACUUGGUCGUCAGCGGGUGGAGGUUGUGGUGGAUAGGAGGUUAUACUAGUGGAUGAGAGAUUAUCUAAAGUGGAUAAGAGAUUAUCUAAAGUGGAUAAGAGAUUAUCUAAAGUGGAUAAUAGUCUACGCUAGUGUGAGUGACAACCAUCAUGAUCACAUCCCAGACAACACACACGCGUUCUUGUCUGUCAGUCUAGGUAAAUUAAAAAAAACAACUUUUAACAAUGGAUCUCUUGGCUCUU
rnacentral:misc_RNA from 1 species